GGGGAUUUAGCUCAGUGGUAGAGCGCUUGCCUAGCAAGCACAAAGCCCUGGGUUCGGUCCCCAGCUCG
rnacentral:tRNA from 1 species